AAUUAGUGAUCAAUAUAUAAGUCGUUAGUAUAAUGAUAACAAAUAUUUCAUUCUAUAACUAUGAAAAGUAAACAUAAUACUUUACCUCUUCUUGCCAAUAAUUAUGCCAAUGUCAUCUGCUUCUCUUAACCCACCCAAAAGAGCACCUCAAUAUGCUAAUAUGUGAUCGUGAAAAUUGACAAGGUGCCACUUUCUCAAUGACGGACUUUUCGUGUAAGCUCAUAUUCAUAACUAUUUUAUUGUAAAUUUAUAUGACAAAGGAAAGAAAUGAGGAAGGAAAGAAGAAAAGAAAAAAAGAAAGAAGGUAUAAAGAAAGUUUUCUAUGCAAGCUCGAAUUUAAAGCUACCUUGUAUGAUUGCAAAUUUAAAUUAAGAAAGAAAAAC
rnacentral:lncRNA from 1 species